UGCCGACACCCGGAGCUUGAACUUCCAGCCUCCAGAACUGUGAGGAAGUAAAUUUCUGUUGUCUCAGCCUCCCAGGCUGUGGUACUUUCCCUAAAGCAGCCCCGGCAAACCGAUACAGCCACCCUUUCUCAGGAUAAAGAAGAAAUUCAAGUGACAACUCUUGUUAAAUGAUGUCCGAUCAUCUUUGAAAUGGACAUCUUUAUUUACUAAGAAUUCCCUCUUUAUCCGUCAACCUUCCUAUCCUUAGACAUUUCCCUUAAUUUUUGGCCACUCUCUUAGAGUUCACUGUCACUGAAUACCCAGAGCAGGCCUGGGGGAGGAAAAGAAG